GCAGCACGGGUACUUGUACCUGGUGGCGAGCGGCGGACGGGNNNNUAAUACCUAGGAAUCUGCCUGGUAGUGGGGGAUAACGUUCGGAAACGGACGCUAAUACCGCAUACGUCCUACGGGAGAAAGCAGGGGACCUUCGGGCCUUGCGCUAUCAGAUGAGCCUAGGUCGGAUUAGCUUGUUGGUGAGGUAAUGGCUCACCAAGGCUACGAUCCGUAACUGGUCUGAGAGGAUGAUCAGUCACACUGGAACUGAGACACGGUCCAGACUCCUACGGGAGGCAGCAGUGGGGAAUAUUGGACAAUGGGCGAAAGCCUGAUCCAGCCAUGCCGCGUGUGUGAAGAAGGUCUUCGGAUUGUAAAGCACUUUAAGUUGGGAGGAAGGGCAGUUACCUAAUACGUAAUUGUUUUGACGUUACCGACAGAAUAAGCACCGGCUAACUCUGUGCCAGCAGCCGCGGUAAUACAGAGGGUGCAAGCGUUAAUCGGAAUUACUGGGCGUAAAGCGCGCGUAGGUGGUUCGUUAAGUUGGAUGUGAAAUCCCCGGGCUCAACCUGGGAACUGCAUUCAAAACUGACGGGCUAGAGUAUGGUAGAGGGUGGUGGAAUUUCCUGUGUAGCGGUGAAAUGCGUAGAUAUAGGAAGGAACACCAGUGGCGAAGGCGACCACCUGGACUGAUACUGACACUGAGGUGCGAAAGCGUGGGGGAGCAA
rnacentral:rRNA from 1 species